rnacentral:rRNA from 1 species
ACAUCGCCKCUCUGCAUAAAWCAUAAGAGGUCCCGCCUGCCCACUGACUAAGUUUAACGGCCGCGGUAUCUUAACCGUGCAAAGGUAGCACAAUAAAUUGUUCUCUAAAUAAGGACUAGUAUGAAUGGCACCACGAGGGCUUAACUGUCUCCCCCAUCUAAUCAAUGAAACUGAUCUUCUCGUGAAGAAGCGAGAAUAUUUAUAUAAGACGAGAAGACCCCAUGGAGCUUUAAACUCAUUACCAUUUACUUAAAUUAAAUCACUAUAAACAGUAAAAAUGUUCUAAUAGUUUUCGGCUGGGGUGACCCUGGAGUAAAAUAAAUCCUCCAGAAUGAAAGAAUAAAUAACUCUAAUCAAAGAAUUACAAUUCUAAGAAUCAAAAACUUGACAUUAAUGAUCCAAUUACUUGAUCAACGAACCAAGUUACCCUGGGGAUAACAGCGCAAUCCAUUUCAAGAGCUCCUAUCGACAAAUGGGUUUACGACCUCGAUGUUGGAUCGGGGUAUCCUAGUGGCGCAGCCGCUACUAAUGGUUCGUUUGUUCAACGAUUAAUAACCCC